AUUGAACGCUGGCGGCAUGCCUUACACAUGCAAGUCGAACGGCAGCGCGGGGCAACCUGGCGGCGAGUGGCGAACGGGUGAGUAAUAUAUCGGAACGUACCCUGGAGUGGGGGAUAACGUAGCGAAAGUUACGCUAAUACCGCAUACGAUCUAAGGAUGAAAGUGGGGGAUUCGCAAGGACCUCAUGCUCCUGGAGCGGCCGAUAUCUGAUUAGCUAGUUGGUGGGGUAAAGGCCUACCAAGGCAUCGAUCAGUAGCUGGUCUGAGAGGACGACCAGCCACACUGGAACUGAGACACGGUCCAGACUCCUACGGGAGGCAGCAGUGGGGAAUUUUGGACAAUGGGCGAAAGCCUGAUCCAGCAAUGCCGCGUGAGUGAAGAAGGCCUUCGGGUUGUAAAGCUCUUUUGUCAGGGAAGAAACGGUGAGGGCUAAUAUCCUUUGCUAAUGACGGUACCUGAAGAAUAAGCACCGGCUAACUACGUGCCAGCAGCCGCGGUAAUACGUAGGGUGCAAGCGUUAAUCGGAAUUACUGGGCGUAAAGCGUGCGCAGGCGGUUUUGUAAGUCUGUCGUGAAAUCCCCGGGCUCAACCUGGGAAUUGCGAUGGAGACUGCAAGGCUAGAAUCUGGCAGAGGGGGGUAGAAUUCCACGUGUAGCAGUGAAAUGCGUAGAGAUGUGGAGGAACACCGAUGGCGAAGGCAGCCCCCUGGGUCAAGAUUGACGCUCAUGCACGAAAGCGUGGGGAGCAAACAGGAUUAGAUACCCUGGUAGUCCACGCCCUAAACGAUGUCUACUAGUUGUCGGGUUUUAAUUAACUUGGUAACGCAGCUAACGCGUGAAGUAGACCGCCUGGGGAGUACGGUCGCAAGAUUAAAACUCAAAGGAAUUGACGGGGACCCGCACAAGCGGUGGAUGAUGUGGAUUAAUUCGAUGCAACGCGAAAAACCUUACCUACCCUUGACAUGUACGGAAGUCCGGAGAGAUCUGGAUGUGCUCGAAAGAGAGCCGUAACACAGGUGCUGCAUGGCUGUCGUCAGCUCGUGUCGUGAGAUGUUGGGUUAAGUCCCGCAACGAGCGCAACCCUUGUCAUUAGUUGCUACGAAAGGGCACUCUAAUGAGACUGCCGGUGACAAACCGGAGGAAGGUGGGGAUGACGUCAAGUCCUCAUGGCCCUUAUGGGUAGGGCUUCACACGUCAUACAAUGGUACAUACAGAGGGCCGCCAACCCGCGAGGGGGAGCUAAUCCCAGAAAGUGUAUCGUAGUCCGGAUUGUAGUCUGCAACUCGACUACAUGAAGUUGGAAUCGCUAGUAAUCGCGGAUCAGCAUGUCGCGGUGAAUACGUUCCCGGGUCU
rnacentral:rRNA from 1 species